AAUGAACGCUGGCGGCGUGCUUAACACAUGCAAGUCGAACGCGAAAGGGACUUCGGUCCUGAGUAAAGUGGCGCACGGGUGAGUAACGCGUAGAUAACCUGUCUUCAUGUCUGGAAUAAUACGCCGAAAGGGGUACUAAUACCGGAUAUUCUUGCUUUUCAUAAGUUAUGCAAGCAAAGGUGGCCUCUGCAUAUGCUACUGCAUGAAGAGGGGUCUGCGUACCAUUAGCUAGUAGGUGGGGUAAUGGCCUACCUAGGCGACGAUGGUUAGCGGGUCUGAGAGGAUGAUCCGCCACACUGGCACUGGAACACGGGCCAGACUCCUACGGGAGGCAGCAGUGAGGAAUAUUGCGCAAUGGGGGAAACCCUGACGCAGCGACGCCGCGUGAGUGAGGAAGGCCCUUCGAGUCGUAAAGCUCUGUCAAGAGGAAAGAAGUGUACAAUGGCUAAUACCUGUUGUAUUUGACGGUACCUCUAAAGGAAGCACCGGCUAACUCCGUGCCAGCAGCAGC
rnacentral:rRNA from 1 species